rnacentral:rRNA from 1 species
UACGGAGGAUGCGAGCGUUAUCCGGCUUUAUUGGGUUUAAAGGGUGCGCAGGCGGCCUGUUAAGUCAGCGGUAAAAGCCCGGGGCUCCACCCCGGCCCGCCGUUGAAACUGGCAGUCUCGAGUUGGAGAGAAGUAUGCGGAAUGCGCGGUGUAGCGGUGAAAUGCAUAGAUAUCGCGCAGAACUCCGAUUGCGAAGGCAGCGUACCGGCGCCAGACUGACGCUGAGGCACGAAAGCGUGGGGAUCGAUCAGG